rnacentral:rRNA from 1 species
CCUACGGGAGGCUGCAGUGAGGAAUAUUGGUCAAUGGACGCGAGUCUGAACCAGCCAUGCCGCGUGCAGGAUGACUGCUCUAUGAGUUGUAAACUUCUUUUGUAUGGGGAUAAACUGUUCCACGUGUGGGUGUUUGUAUGUACCAUAUGAAUAAGGAUCGGCUAACUCCGUGCCAGCAGCCGCGGUAAUACGGAGGAUCCGAGCGUUAUCCGGAUUUAUUGGGUUUAAUGGGAGGGUAGGUGGAGCGGUAAGUCAGUUGUGAAAGGUAGCGGCGCAACCGUAAAAUUGCAGUUGAAACGGGCAGUCUUGAGUACAGUAGAGGUGGGCGGGAUGCGAUGUGUAGCGGUGAAAUGCAUAGAUAACACGAAGAACAGCGAAUGGGAUGGGAGGGCACUGGACU